AAAGUAAUUUUAAUAGAAAAAAUUAAAAGUUUUAUAGUGUAAUAGUAUUGUAAAAGAUUUUUGAAAUAUAUGAAAAUGAAAUUGAUUAAAAGUAAUUUUUAUUUAAUGUAUCUUGUGUAUCAGAGUUUAUUAAAAAAUAUUCUUUGAUGGAUAGAAAUUCUCGAAUUUAAGAGAGAUAAUUAAUUAAAAAAGUUAUUGUAAUAUAAAUAUUUUUAAUAAUUAAUUGGAAAUGAAAUGUUAAAUCGUUCUUAAAUAUAUCUAGUUUUUUUAGAAAAAAAUUUAAUUUUAAAUUUAUUUUUUUUUUUAUAAAUUAAUUAAUUAAUUUAUAAAAAAAUAAAUUUUAUAUUUUAAGGGAUAAGCUUUAAUUUAAAUAAAUAUAAUUAAUUAAUUUAAUUUUUAUUUUGAAAAUUAUAUAAUUUAUAUUGUUAAUAAAUUUUAAUUUAUUAUAAAUAAUUUCAAUAAUAAAAUAAAAUUUAAUUAAAAAUUUAAAAAUUUAUAAAAAAAAAAUUUUUAAUAAUAAAAAUUUAGUUAUAAUGAUAAAAUUAGUAUAUAAAUAGAAAAAAAGGAUGAAUUUUAAGUUAAUUAAUUAAAAGGAAUUCGGCAAAAAUUUAUGUUCACUUGUUUAACAAAAACAUGUCUUUUUGAAAAUAAUAUAAAGUCUAAUCUGCCCACUGAUUUUAAUAAUUGAAGGGCUGCAGUAUAUUGACUGUACAAAGGUAGCAUAAUCAUUAGUCAUUUAAUUGAUGACUUGUAUGAAAGAUUGGAUGAAAUAUAAACUGUCUCUUAAAUUAAUUUAUAGAAUUUAAUUUUUUAAUUAAAAAGUUAAAAUAAUUUAAAAAGACGAGAAGACCCUAUAGAGUUUUAUAUUUUAUAAAAUUUAAAUUAUUUAUAAAAUUAAAAAUUUUAAUUUUAUAAAAUAUUUUAUUGGGGUGAUAGAAAAAUUAAAAAAACUUUUUUUAAAAAAAUCCAUAUAUAAGUGAAUAAAUGAUCCAAUAGUAUUGAUUAUAAGAAAAAAUUACCUUAGGGAUAACAGCGUAAUUUUUUUUUUUAGUUCAAAUAAAAAAAAGAGUUUGCGACCUCGAUGUUGGAUUAAGAUAAAAUUUAAAUGCAGAAGUUUAAAAUUUUGAUCUGUUCGAUCAUUAAAAUCUUACAUGAUCUGAGUUCAAACCGGUGUAAGCCAGGUUGGUUUCUAUCUUUUAAAAAAUAAAAUAUUUUAGUACGAAAGGAUUAAAUAUUUAAAUUAAAUUUAUUUUAUUGAAUUUUAUUA
rnacentral:rRNA from 1 species